AUUGCUGAUUUGGUCAAGAUCUAAACAUAUCGUAGAGCUCCAGCAUGGUGGCUCACGCCUGUAAUACAAACACUUUGGAAGGCCAAGGGCCUCACUCUGUCACCUAGGCUGGAGUGCAAUGGUAUGAUCAUGGCUCACUGCAGCCUUGACUUUCCAAGUUCAAGCAAUCCUCCCACCUCAGCCUCCCGAGUAGCACAGCUGGGACCACAGGCACAUGCUACCAUGCCCAGCUAAUUUUUGUAUUUUUUGUAGAGACAGGGUUUCACCAUGUUGCCCAGGUUGGUCUUAAACCCUGGCUCAAGCAAUCCACCUGCCGUGGCCUCCCAAAGUGCUGGAAUUAUGGGCGUAAGCCAUUGCACCCAGGUCCAAAGAGUUAAAAUUAAUUGGUAAACCCUCAGCAGGAAGAGCACAACUGAGGAAAUUAAGAGAGCCAACAAAGCAUGAGGAUCUGUAAUGAUAUUCCUGGUUUCAUUCUUAAUAUGGUUUUUGUUCCUCUAUUUCCCAUUUCUCACCUUCCUGUGACAAACCAAGUCUGAAGAUUCAGCCGUAUGUGGGAUCCUGCAGGGACUGCCUGCCCUAAAAGCCAAGAAGAGAAAACGCUUAUGAGAUACAAGGUCCUUGGAAGGUCGCCGGGAUGGCCAGCAAGCCAACAGGACUUACUAGUUCAUGAAGACAUGACUCAGCUGUGUUCAGUUACCUCCUCAAUCCACCUAUCUCUCAUAGGAUCAUGAAGACACGACUCAGCUGUGUUCAGUUACUUCCUCAAUCCACCUAUCUCUCUCCCUUGAAAACAC
rnacentral:antisense_RNA from 1 species